GUGACAGGGUGAGGCAGUGAAAGGGUGUGCUCAGGGCUGGCCUUGCACACCUUGGGGUGGAAUGUUGCAGGUUCCUGUGCAUCAGUCAGGGCAGUGACAGCUGCAACAACACCCAUCAUUCCUUUCUUACACUUGUAAACUCCCUGACAACCUGCUGAGAGUGAUUUCUACUUGAUAGGGGAGAGCUGAAAAGUGGAUGAAUGGAAUUAAGGAUCCUCCACGGAUAUGUGACCACAUAUGGUUUUAAAUGAAUGCAGAAUGGAAAUUAUUUGAGAUAUAAAAGAGCAAUUCAGAGCUUCCUCCCAAGCAGCACUUGUACCAAGGGCUCAUCCUGCUGCUCUGCACAUCAAAGGAUCAUCAGUGGAACGAACUGAGAAAGAAAUGUAACUUUCAAAUGAAAAAAUCGUGUGGUUGUGGAAGGUCUGCCCAAGAGGAACAGAACUUGGAGUUUUAGGGAUAUGAGGAAUUGGAAAUUAAGGUGGGAUUUUCAGCUUCUCUGUUGUUCCUGUGAAUGCAAACCUGGAUGUUUUCUGUGCUUCUCCAAGCCUGAAGCUUUCUGCUAAAUUUCUUACUAAAAGAUAACAGAGGAGAUUAUAAAUGCAGGCACCUCAGUUCUGUGAAGGAGGGCCCUGUUUGCUCACUGGUGCAUAAAAAGGCCUUAUUGGGGACUUACAUCUCUGUCAUGUUGAUUUAAUUUUAUUUUAUAUCACGUUCUCCCACCAAAUUGCUCUCAGUUUUUCUGUGUGGCGUUGGGUGCCCUGUAUUCAGAUGACAAGGCUGAGACAAUAAUCUGAAAAGGUUCUCUCUUUGUAAUUUAACCUGCUAUAGGUGUGUGAGCCUGAUGGUCUGUACAUCCAUGGAAAUUUCCUCUGGGCCAGGUCUUUCCCUGAGCAGUUCCAUAAAACAGGAGGGAUGUGAUCUCUGGUUUCUAUCAAAGAACCCUUUAGGUUGGAAAAGGCCUCUAAAACCAUUGAUUCCAGUCAAUGAUCAAAGUCCCUCUUGCUGAUUUAGCAAAAAGGUCUUUUUUUCUGACUCAGGUGUUGGUCUCAGGUUGGAGACCUGGGGUUAAUCCUUGUUUCCACCCGUGUCAUACAGACCAGCAUGGCUCUGCUGAAGCAGAGCAAAGGUACCCUGGCACACUCCCAGUGCUGGGGCAGGACCUCCAGGUCUGCCUGGGAAAGAGCCCGUGGGGGAUCAUGGAAGGGACCCACAAGGACCAUCCAGUCCAACCCCUGGCCCUGCCCGGGACACCCCAACAAUCCCCCCCUGUGCCCCAGAGGAUCAUCCAAACCCUCCUGGAGCUCUGGCAGCCUUGGGGCCGUGCCCACUGCCCUGGGCAGCCUGGGCAGUGCCAACCACCCUCUGGGGGAAGAACCUUGUCCUGAGAUCCAACCUGACCCUCCCUGGCACAGCUCCAGCCCUUCCCUUGGGUCUUCUGCAGUGCUCUCCAGGUUGGAGGAGCCCACCCUGGGAUCCAGGAGGAAGUUCUGCUCCUUGUAAUUACACCUGUGAAACAGGGAAUGAAUAGGGUUGGCUGAAAACCUGGAGGGUCAGAAAAUGGAACAUUUUUACAAAAUCAGUACCUGCACAUCAGGUGGGGACAGUGUCCUGGCACUGGGUGUCAGCAGCACUGACUAAACAGUGUGGAUCCCCUCCAAUUAGCAGAUUCCUGAAGCCCUGAAGUGCUUCCCAGGGCAGUGCUCAGGGCUGCAUUUAGAGGCAUUUACUGUGCUGGAUUCUGCUGAGUGCUCUCCUGGCUGCUGCCUGGGAGAGCAGGACCAGCACUCCUCACUCUGCUGGGCUUGGCUUGUGCAAAAGGCCCUGCUUUCAGCAGGUGAAGUUUUCAUCAGGCUGUUGUAGGAAUAAUGUGGAAAAGAUGUUAUUUGCCAGCUGACCUGCCUUGGAGGGAGGAAAUACAAGACAUGGGUGGAAUGAAAGGAGAACUGCAGAGCAGAUCCUUGUGGAUGCACCUCCCCCAAACCAACUGCUCGAUGGCAGAGAGACUCUGGGAAGGGAUUUUGUUUCCUGGGUGUUGCUGUGCUGGAUCUGGGACUCAAAUCCAGGGGGGUUUGUUGGGGGUCCCCCUCACACCUUGAGAGCCUGGUUUGUACCAGGUCUGACCAAAGACCCCCCUGGGCUGAACCCCCUUGGCAGCAGCUCCCAGCAGUGCUGAAGGACGAGCGGGAUGUCCAAGCCAGGGAACUGGAUGCACAUUCCAUGUCAGCCCAAGCUUGGAGCCUGGACAGCCCUGGGCAACGAUGGAAGGAUUCCUGGUGAGCCCACCGUGGUUGGUGCCAGGGGAGUGCAGACAGAAGGGUGAUGGAAAGCUUCCAAAGAGGCUCCAAGCCCUCAGUGUCUUCAGUUUUCAUCCACCUACAGAGCCCAUUUACACACCUGUACUACUGGGAAAUGAUCUCCAGGGACUUCUGCAGUGACACCUCUUGCAACAGCACGUAAAGCUUCCACUGACAGGUGGUUUCUGACAGACAAACUCCUGGGGAAGAUGAAGGUCUUGUAUCUGGAGACACAAGGUUUGUGUUUGGCUGGUGAGUGGUGCAGGACGGGGCUUUGCUCCUGCUGGGAAAGGUUCAGACUGGAGUCCAGGCUGCCCAGAGAAGCUGGAAGUGUCCAAGGCCAGGUUGGACGGGGCUUGGAGCAACCUGGGCUGGUGGAAGGUGUCCCUGCCCAUGGCAGGGGUGGCACUGGAUGGGCUUUGAGGUCCCUCCCAGCCCAAACCAUUCCACGAUUCUGCGAGUCCAGCUGCUCUUCCAAGGGGUGGAGGUGCUGCACCAUGCCCCCUCUGGCUCUUCUGUGCUUGUGCCCCGUGUCCCCAGGGCAGGGAUGGCUGGAUGUGCCUGUCACAUCUUCCCCUGGGCCCCCUCCAGCCGGGCUGUUCUGCUGCUCAGGCUGAAGAACAAAGCAGGUUUUGCUCAAGCCCAGGUUGGGAGAGCUGGGACGUGUCCGUGGGUGGUGACAGCCCAGGGGAUGGUGGGUGGGUGGCAGAGCUGCCACCAGCUGUCCUGUCACUUCGCCCUGGCCAUCCUGUCGCUCCCAUCCGCCUCCUUUGGUGUUUUCCCCUGAAGUCCAUGACAAAUUCCUGACUCACCCGUUCUGGGAAGGCCACUGAGCUCGAAGCUCCUGGAGCUCAGUGCCCGGGUACCUGAGGCUGGGCAGGUGAGGAGCCCCUGCAGGGCUGUCGGUGCUUGGAGCCACCUGAGACCCACCUGCAGCCCAAGGAGCUUCCCUGCUAAUUGUUUCCUAAAUACCCCGAUCCCUUUCUAAACCCCGUUGCCGUGGCAACAAUAAUUUCUAUGCAUUACGAAUAUCAGACACCUCUCGAAUCAAUUUGUUUUCCCUUGUUGCCAUGGCGACAGACAUUUUGUCAGAAUUAUUUAGGGGGAGAGAAAUCCGGAGACUUUUCCAGGGAAGGAGCUGCAGGAGGAGCCCCGUGGGGAGCCCGGCCCCCCUCCCACCCUCCUCCUGCCCCGCCGAGGGGGGUCCUGCAGCUCCCAGGGAGUGUUUUGUGGUUUGGAUACAAGCAGCCCCCUCGGCUACUGCCCCAUCUCCGUCCUUUUGCCCUCCCAACUCCAGCACCUUGCUGAUGACCAUCGUCUGCUUUGGGCCCUCCCAGCCUGGCCACCGCCAGGGCCGUUCCUCUCUGAUGGCUCCUGCUCUCAGACCUGGGGCUUUGGCUGCACCUCAGCCUUCCCAGCCUCUCUUUCCUAGAGUGACAUCUACUCAAACAGGUUGGAAAGCUGCCUAAAGGCGUUUCUCUGGUGCAAUCAUCAGUGGUGCCGAAAAGGAGCGUGUUGGAAAUCUCAGCAGCACAUUUGGUUGCCAGCGUGCUAAAUGGGGCCUGUGAAAGCUCUGCAUUGCAAUGGCCACCCUGCAGCCUCCUCUGGGCUCUGGAUUGCUGUCCUUUCACAGUGGCAGUUCAGUGAUGAACCCCUCAGCCCAUUUAUUAAACCCCUUGGGGCUCUCUGCCCUGUCCCCUGCUCCUGCUCAGCUGGAGGGCUGGCAGGACACCCCACCCCGGGUGAGGUGGGGCUGGAGAGGUGCAGCCAACACAACUGCUGGUUCUUAGGCUCCAGGAGAUGCUUGGGGUGAAAGAAAAGUCACAAGUUAAAAAAAUCAAUCUGAGCAGAGCUGUUUUGGUCACCCACAAGGUUCCUGUAAGCUCUUACUUGAAGAGCAAUAAUGUCAUUUCUAGGUCACGCCCUGCUGAUGGUGCUCCCUGAUUUAGGCUGAGGGAGCUGGGGCUGCUCAGCCUCCAGAGGGGACACCCAGAGGGGACCUCCCCAAGGGCUGGCAGGGCCUGCAGGGAGGGGCAGAGGAUGGCCCAGGCUCUGCUCAGGGGGGCCCAGCAAUGGCACAGCAGGAACGGGCAGGAACUGAUGCCCAGCAAGUGCCACCUGCACAGGAGGAAGAACUUCUUGGCUGGGCAGUGACCCAGCCCUGAGCAGAUUGGCCAGAGAGGGGGGGAGUCUCCUCCCUGGGGAUAUUCCAGAGCCCUCUGGACACAAUCCCUGUGCUCUGGGAUGGCCCUGCUGGAGCAGGGAGGUGGGAUCAGAUGGACACUGUGGGCCCUUCCAGCCUGACCCAUCCUGGGAUUUUUUUAUAGGAAAUAAAAAAAUAUUUGAAAGAGUCUGUUAUUAAACACCUGAAUGCUCAAAUUAUAGGUGAGCUUUGAAAAACAAAUUAAUCUUCUGAGUUUGAGUUAGGAAUCUACAGCAGGACCCCGGGGCUGUGUCCUCUGUGCUGCAUUUCUGCUGCCACGGGCUGUUUCUGCACUGGGAAGGCCUGUUCUCUCCUUGCCAGAUAAUACUUAAUGCUCCUUGCACUGGAAAUGUCCAGGCAGGGGAGCCAGAACACUGAAGCAGCAAGUUGACAUCUGGCAAAGUGACUGAGGAGGUACCUUGGGGCAGACAAAUGCUGCUCCAUCCGACUGCUCCGUGAAUCCAUCCAGCUUCUGAGCGCAAUCCUGGGGCUCAGGAUGGUGCUGCUGAAUGUAGGAAUAUCUGCAGGUCAGAGGCAUCAAAACCUAUUUCCUCGGAACUGAAGAUAAGCAGAAAAUAUAAUGUGGUGCUUCUCUUCCCCAGGAAAUCACUGGGAGCACUUGUGGGGAUUUACAGGAGGCGUUUGUGCUGCUCUACCUUCCCCGGCGGCCGUGGCUUCACCUGCACGCUUCCCUCCACUUGGUGGUAGCAUUUUCUCGGUGUUCCCUCCUCUCUUCCAGCGUUUGGAGUGGCUGUGGAUGUGAACGAGGAGCCCCUUCCCUCUGAACGCGGGAUCGAAGGAGUGUUGAGUGUUUACUCCCCUCUGUGACACGGGGAACUUUGAUGCUCAGGUGCUUCCCAGACUGGCUUUGCUUGUACUCAAACCACUUUCUCCUGAUGUGAGAAGGAGAAGGAAGACACCGACAAGCUUGGAAAUGCUGCUCCCUGACCAGCUGUGCUUGUCCUCAGGUGGGUUUGACACCACAUGGACCUGACUCUGUGGCUGCCCCAAAACCAGCCUGAAAUUCGCUCUGGGUCAGGGGGACCCUGACAGGAGGUGUCCUCUCCAGAAAGGUGUGGGUUCAGCCAGUGAAACACUCCCCAUGUCCUGCCUCUUCCCAGCUCCUCCUCUGCUGGUGGAAGACGUUUGUGUGAAGGACCCAAAGCUGGGAGUGAAGGGGCAGCAGUUCUGGUGAGCUCUGUGCCCAUGAGGUGGGAGGGAUGGGCAUCCAUGGACCCAGGGCAGGGGCACUCCUGAGGAUGCCUGGAGAGCCUGGGGCCACAGCAGUGCCCUCCCUGCUGGCCACGGCUCCAGUGGGAUUGGCUCCUGCUCCUGGAGCUGGGGCUGCCUCCUCACCAGGGGCACAGAGCUGCUGUCACCAGGGGCACAGAGCUGCUGCUCACCAGGGACACAGAGCUGCUGCUGCUCACCAGGGACACAGAGCUGCUGCUGCUCACCAGGGGCACAGAGCUGCUGCUGCUCACCAGGGGCACAGAGCUGCUGCUGCUCACCAGGGGCACAGAGCUCCUGCUCACCAGGGGCACAGAGCUGCUGCUCACCAGGGACACAGAGCUGCUGGGCACAGAGCUGCUGCUCAGCAGGGACACAGAGCUGCUGCUGAGGGGCUGCAUCCCACCAGCCCAGCGGGACAGGAGGGAUUUCCCGUGGAGAGGAGCGAUGCCAGUGCAGCAGGAGAGCUGAGAGCGGCCGAGGCAGCGCCGGGCACAGGCUCAGGGCAGCACAGACAGAGAUGAUGCCACUGUUGGCUUCAGUUUUUAUUCUAUCUAUCAAAAAUCUACCAAAAUGCUCCACCCUUGAGAACGGGCUGCACUUACUCUGCUCUCGCUGCUUCGGGCUGUCCUUACCCUGCUGUGGGCUGAGCCAGACUGGGACCAAACCCAGCCCCUGUUGUGCUGAGGUGUUUGUGCUGCACGGGUGCACCCCCUCUGCCACGGAGCAAAACUGCAGCGACCACCUGCUGUCAAUGAAAUUACUGUGAUAUUGAUUAGAGUCUUUUUAAUUGCACCGAGCCAUUUAUUAAAGGCUUAUCUGAGUGCUGUGACUGCUGCUCUCCUUCCUGGCAGCAGCAGGUUCCCAA